rnacentral:rRNA from 1 species
GAUGAACGCUGGCGGCGUGCCUAAUACAUGCAAGUCGAGCGAACAGACGAGGAGCUUGCUCCUCUGACGUUAGCGGCGGACGGGUGAGUAACACGUGGAUAACCUACCUAUAAGACUGGGAUAACUUCGGGAAACCGGAGCUAAUACCGGAUAAUAUAUUGAACUGCAUGGUUCAAUAGUGAAAGACGGUUUUGCUGUCACUUAUAGAUGGAUCCGCGCCGCAUUAGCUAGUUGGUAAGGUAACGGCUUACCAAGGCAACGAUGCGUAGCCGACCUGAGAGAGUGAUCGGCCACACUGGAACUGAGACACGGUCCAGACUCCUACGGGAGGCAGCAGUAGGGAAUCUUCCGCAAUGGGCGAAAGCUUGACGGAGCAACGCCGCGUGAGUGAUGAAGGUCUUCGGAUCGUAAAACUCUGUUAUUAGGGAAGAACAAAUGUGUAAGUAACUAUGCACGUCUUGACGGUACCUAAUCAGAAAGCCACGGCUAACUACGUG